UUUUAUGAGAGUUUGAUCCUGGCUCAGGACGAACGCUGGCGGCGUGCCUAAUACAUGCAAGUCGAACGCUUCUUUUUCCAACGGAGCUUGCUCCACCGGAAAAAGAAGAGUGGCGAACGGGUGAGUAACACGUGGGUAACCUGCCCAUCAGAAGGGGAUAACACUUGGAAACAGGUGCUAAUACCGUAUAACAAUCAAAACCGCAUGGUUUUGAUUUGAAAGGCGCUUUCGGGUGUCGCUGAUGGAUGGACCCGCGGUGCAUUAGCUAGUUGGUGAGGUAACGGCUCACCAAGGCCACGAUGCAUAGCCGACCUGAGAGGGUGAUCGGCCACAUUGGGACUGAGACACGGCCCAAACUCCUACGGGAGGCAGCAGUAGGGAAUCUUCGGCAAUGGACGAAAGUCUGACCGAGCAACGCCGCGUUAGUGAAGAAGGUUUUCGGAUCGUAAAACUCUGUUGUUAGAGCAGAACAAGGAUGGGAGUAACUGUUCAUCCCUUGACGGUAUCUAACCAGAAAGCCGCGGCUAACUACGUGCCAGCAGCCGCGGUAAUACGUAGGUGGCAAGCGUUGUCCGGAUUUAUUGGGCGUAAAGCGAGCGCAGGCGGUUUCUUAAGUCUGAUGUGAAAGCCCCCGGCUCAACCGGGGAGGGUCAUUGGAAACUGGGAGACUUGGGUGCAGAAGAGGAGAGUGGAAUUCCAUGUGU
rnacentral:rRNA from 1 species